rnacentral:rRNA from 1 species
AUUGAACGCUGGCGGCAGGCUUAACACAUGCAAGUCGAGCGGGGGAAGGUAGCUUGCUACCGGACCUAGCGGCGGACGGGUGAGUAAUGCUUAGGAAUCUGCCUAUUAGUGGGGGACAACAUCUCGAAAGGGAUGCUAAUACCGCAUACGUCCUACGGGAGAAAGCAGGGGAUCUUUGGACCUUGCGCUAAUAGAUGAGCCUAAGUCGGAUUAGCUAGUUGGUGGGGUAAAGGCCUACCAAGGCGACGAUCUGUAGCGGGUCUGAGAGGAUGCUCCGCCAGACGGGGACUGGGACACGGCCCAGACUCCUAAGGGGGGCAGCAGUGGGGAAUAUUGGACAAUGGGGGGAACCCUGAUCCAGCCAUGCCGCGUGUGUGAAGAAGGCCUUAUGGUUGUAAAGCACUUUAAGCGAGGAGGAGGCUACUUUAGUUAAUACCUAGAGAUAGUGGACGUUACUCGCAGAAUAAGCACCGGCUAACUCUGUGCCAGCCGCCGCCGUAA